rnacentral:rRNA from 1 species
GUGCCAGCAGCCGCGGUAAUACGGAGGGGGCUAGCGUUAAUCGGAAUUACUGGGCGUAAAGAGUACGUAGGCGGCUUUUCAAGUCGGGUGUGAAAUCCCUGAGCUUAACUCAGGAACUGCCAUCAAAACUUUUUAGCUAGAGUGUGAUAGAGGUAAGUGGAAUUUCUAGUGUAGCGGUGAAAUGCGUAGAUAUUCGGAGGAACACCAAUUGCGAAGGCAGUUCACUGGACCGUGAUCGACGCUGAGGAGCGAAAGCUAGGGGAGCAAACAGGAUUAGAUA